UGUUCCCAAGGAGAAGUGGAAACCUGAGGGGUCUUCGAAAGUCAGUUGUGUUGGAUGGUGUCCUGCUGGGGCAAGCAAACACGUGAAGGAGCGUUUGGCUGAAGCAGACACAGGCAGUGCCACUGCUGCUGUAUCCUGACUCUACUGAACUGGACUGCUGGUGUAGCCGUGAAGUGUUUAGGAGUGGAUCGAGCGGCUGCUGCUGACCUGUGAUCUGAACUGUUGAUUUCCUGACAACGAAAACAGGAUUUGCUCCAAAGAAUCAUUUCUAAACAGGGAGCAAUUCCGAUGGUGGUGGUGGCAGGCCCAGGAAGGAGUCAGCUGCCACAGGGAAAGCCCCCACCCGGGUGGAAGAGAGAAAAGGAACAUCCGGGAGGCCAGGGAUCAGAGGCUGAGGCUUUCCUGCAACAGCGGCCAUAACAGGUGAGCAUACACUAGGAAGCAAAGAACAGAGGCUGCCCUCACACAACUGGAGGGCAGACGUUAGGGUGGCAAACCAAACCAAGAGAGGUCUUCUUCCUUCUGCUUCUAGCUCUGAUGGUUCUCCUCCAAAAUUCACUUAUUUGUGGACUGCUGAGGCCCAUUGGUGGCCUUAUGACCUGAGUUUGAUGCCUGGUGCCCAGCUGGUGGGAGGAGAGAAGCAGCUCUUGAAAGUUGCCCUCUAACACCACUAACACACACACACACACACACACACACACACACACACACACACACACACACACACACAUAGAGGAAAAGGGAGAAAGGGAGGGGGGGGAGAGAGAAUAACAAACAGAUGUAAAAAAAUUAAAAUGUGUUUAGUGUGUGUGUUUGUGUAGAUGGUACUCAGGUCCUCUCACAUGGUAGGCAAGAAGAACUCUACCACUGAGCUAUGUCCCUAGCCCCCUACAAAAUUCACGUUAGAACCCUAGUCCCCCUCUUGAUGGUAUAAAUAUCAGGAACUUUGGAAGGAACUGAAUUCAGAAGAGGCCAUGAGGAGGCAGCACCAAGUCUGUGCCCUAACGCGAAGAGAAAUGGGAGACUCCCUCCUUCCCACCCUCCCAGCUGCUCCCCUCCAUCUAUGAUGGUCCAAACAGCCACUUGGGAGGCAGAGGCAGAUGGAUCUCUGAGUUGAGGCCAGCCUGGUCUAUAGAGUGAGUCCCAGGACAGCCAGGGCUACACAGAGAAACCCUGUCUCAGAAAAACAAACAAGUAGCCACCCUAACGGGUCUCACCACACACAAAUCUGCUAGCACUUGAUCUUCAACUUUCCCAACUCCCGAGACCAUGAGAAAUACGUUUAUUAGUCAAUGUUAGUAGAACUUCAUUGCAGCCGCUGAACAGAGCAGGCACCUGUGGUCCUCGGCAUUCCUGGGCUUGUGGCAGCAUCACUGAAUCUCUGAUCCCCGCCUUCAUCGUUCAGUGAUCUCUCGAUCACGAUGUCUGUGUCAAAUCUCCCUCAUAUGACUGGUGAGUCAGGUGUAAGCACACGCCAAUCUACUGUGACAUUGUCUGACGUUUACUGCAGAUGCAGAGAUCCUGCUUCUCAAUCAGGUUACCGUUGAGACAAACAGGCCUGAGACAAUACCUUCAUUUCCAGAUGUGUGAUCUUGGGCAAGAUUCCCUACUACCUGAGCCCCAACCCCUACCUCCUCACCUACCCUUACCCCUCACCCACCCCUACCUCCUCAUCCACUCCUAGCCCCUCAUCCACCCCUACCUGUCACCCAUCCCUACCUCCUUACCCACCCCUAGCCCCUCCUCCCAGCCCCUCCCCCUCGGUUCCCCUAGCAAACAAAACCACUUGCCCAGAACUGCUACUCUUAACUGUGGCUCCCCACACAGGCAGCCCCUCCCCCAGCCUUUGAUAGCACUAAACUAUUUUUUUUUAAUCAAUUCAUCCUGCAGCCGCAGUUUCAGCGAUGAUCAAAUGCAGCCACCAUCCUGCAGAUAAGCCCCUUCAGCCUGAUUCUCACUGCAAAGUACUUAUCUUAAGAAAAUCUAGGGAGAAUCUGCAUUUAUCUGGAGAAUAACUGGAAUACUCUGCAAGGGUUUCUCUACCAAAUGGUUCUGCUUGUCCCAGCGGGGCCUGCCUGACUUUCAGCAAAGCACAAUGAAAGGAGGCUUGGGCGGGAGGAAGGUUCUGUGUGCACCUUAUCCUGCCUGUGCUGGAGACUGCCCCAAUGGACCCUCAGUGUUGUAGCCAUUCAUUCAGACGCACUCAAAUUCCCCAGGAGGCACUGACCUCUUCCACACCUUUAAUCCCAGACUAUCUCUGAGAGUUUGCGGUCAGCUUGGUCUACAUAGAGAGUUCCAGGCUAGCCAAGGCUACAUAAAGAGUGUGUGUGAGAGAGAGAGACAGAGAAAGAGAGACAGAGCAAGAUUGUCUUGCUCACUGGAUCACACUGGCUCUUGGGGCAUUCUCUGUUUCAGAAAAACAAUGGAUACAUUAGCAACGUCUUGUUUCCUUUUGCUCUGCCAAGCAAAAGCAUGGAAACCUCUGGGGAAUUCACUUGACAAGCUAAGAACAGGAGGUCAGUGUCUACACUGUUACCACAAGUGUGCUGUCCCCGUGGCUCCUACCCCUGGGGAGGCAUGGCUGUGUGGAACUGUGCCCGUGCCAUUCUAACGGGUGAGGGAGGGAGUGGGUGGUGUGGGAGAGGGGACGUGGUUCCAGCCAAUGACUUCCUUCUGUCUCCUUUCUGAGGGUAUGUCUGUUAGUCCCUUUGAAGCAGACACCCUCAAAAGGAUGGUGAGACUGCAAGGUCCGGUGAGCCUGUCCCUUUUCCUAGCUGGCCUUGAGUCUCCCCUGCUUCUUUGUCACAUAGCUCAGGCCUCUUCACUAGUGUGAAGGGCUAAUACAUCCCUGUUCCUGAGGGAGCACCUGGCUCUCAUGCUUUAAAGAUUCCUCCUGAGGGCCAACGAGAUGGAUGGCUCAGCGAAAGGCGCUUGCUGUGCAAACAUGACAGUCUGUGUUCGAUCACCAGAACCCAUAGUGGAAAGAGAAACUGACUCCCAGAAGUUAUCUCUGAUUUCCACAUAUGUUCUCUCCCUCUCCCCCUCACACGCAUCCUUUUAAAAAGUCUUUUUUUUGGGGGGGUUGGGGAUUUAGCUCAGUGGUAGAGCGCUUGCCUAGCAAGCACAAGGCCCUGGGUUCGGUCCCCAGCUCCAAAAAAAAGAGAAAAAAAAAAAAAAAGAAAAAAAAAGUAUUUUUUUAAAAAUAUAUAUACUUUAAUUCCUGCUUCAGUGACUUUCCCUUAUAGGAGGAGCUCAGCUGCCCUGAGUCCCCCUCACUGUUGUCAAUGGGCAGGGCUUAAAUGUUUAUUUUAGAAAAAAAAAGAAGUGGGCAGUGGCGGUGCACACCUUUAAUCCCAGCACAGGGGAAGCAGAGGGAGGGGAAUCUCUUGUGAGUUGAAGGUCAGCCUGGUGUACACAGUGAGUUCCUGGACAGCCAGGUCUACAUAGAGGAACCCUGUCUGAAAAAGUGAAAGAAAGAAAGAAAGAAAGAAAGAAAGAAAGAAAGAAAGGAAGGAAGAAAGAAAGGAAGGAAGGAAGGAAGAAAGGAAGGAAGGAAGGAAGGAAGGAAGGAAGGAAGGAAGGAAGGAAGGAAGGAAGAAAGAAAGGAAGAAAGGGGGCAGGCAUGGUGGUGCAAACCUUUAGUCUCAGCACUGGGGAGGCAGAGGCUGAUGAAUCUCUGUGAAUUUGAGGCCAACCUGGUCUACAUAGUGAGUUCUAGGCCAGCCAGUGGUACAUAGAGAAUCCUGCUUCAAGAAAAACAAAACAAAAACAAACAAGUGAUAAAAAUAUCUCUUUACAACUUUUUUUUUUUAAGAUUUAUUUUAAGGGUUGGGGAUUUAGCUCAGUGGUAGAGCACUUGCCUAGCAAGCGCAAGGCCCUGGGUUCGGUCCCCAGCUCCGAAAAAAAAGAAUAAAAAAAAAAAAAAGAUUUAUUUUAAAAAUAAAAUGCAGUGCUCUAUCUGCAUGGACACCUGCGUGCCAGAAGAGGGCAUCAGAUCCUAUUACAGAAGGUCGUGAGCCACCGUGUGGUUGCCUGGGAUUGAAUUUUGGACCUCUGGACAGUAUUCUUAACUACUGAGCCAUCUCUCCAGCCCCGACAACUUAUUUUUUAAACGAAUUCUUUUUAAUUAUGUAUAUAUAUAGGGACCUGUAUGUGGUUAUGGACAUGAGUGCAGAUGCCUGCAGAGGCCAGCAGAGGGCACUGGAGAGCCUCUGUCUGGAGUUGCCUAAUGGAGUUGUGAGCAGCCUCAUGUGGGGGCUGGGAAUUGAACUGGAGUCCUAUGCAUGAGCAAAAGACACUCUUAAUUGACCAGUCAUCUGUCUCCAGCAGCUUUACAUUUAGUCUUUAUUUUUAUUAUGUUUAAAUUAUUUAUGCGUAUGUGUCUGUGUUGGUCAGCAUACACACCCAUGCAGAUGCUAGAGGCAGGAAGGUCAGGUCUCCUGGAGCUGGAGUAACAGAGGUUCUGAUCCACCAUGUAGGUGCUGGGAACUAAACCAGGUCCUCUACAAGAGCAGGGAGUGCUCAUAAACACUCUCCAGCCAUCUCUUCAGCUUUUAAUUUUAGAAAAAAAUAUUUAAAAGGAGGACUCAAAGGGUUUGGUUGGGGGAGGGGGGUUGGAGAGAUGGCUCAGUGGUUAAGAGCACUGACUGCUCUUCCAGAGGUCCUGAGUUCAAUUCCCAGCAACCACAUGGUGGCUCACAACCAUCUGUAAUGAGAUCUGGUGCCCUCUUCUGGUGUGUCUGAAGACAGUGACAGUGUACUCACAGACAUUAAAUAAAUAAAUAGGGGUUGGGGAUUUAGCUCAGUGGUAGAGCACUUGCCUAGCAAGCGCAAGGCCCUGGGUUCGGUUCCCAGCUCCGAAAAAAAAGAAAAAUAAAUAAAUAAAUAAAUAAAGCUUUAAAAAAAGGGGGGGGGAUUAGGUUCGAUUGCUUAGGGGACAGCAUUGUCCUUUAGUGAGACGGGGAACUUGAGGACAAACAGGUGGACGGGGUGUGUCAAGCCUGAGAGAGUGUGAGUGUGUGUGUGUGUGUGUGUGUGUGUGUGUGUGUGUGUGUGUCUUAAUGGGAGUGUUGUAAGAGUUGUUGAAUUCAGGGUUGUGUUCAAGGUGAGGCUAGAGCCAGCAAUGAAGCCAUGGGAGUUGCUGGACAUUGGUGCUGAUCAAAGCUACAAGAAAGCACUUCUUCUAAAGAAAGGGUAACAUUUUAAAGUUAAUUCUGGUUAACUUAGAAAUGUUAGUAUCACCCCUAAAACAACAUUGGCAAAGACCUCCACUAGGAGUUCACAGAAAAGCCAGCCUCCUCUCUCUGCCUGACGCUGCUGAGGCUACACUUGUGAGGCCUGUCUUCUGCAGCUAACAAGCACAUGUCACUUCUUAGCUGCUGGCUGCAUGCAGCUCCUCUCCCAGUGCCAAAAACAUCAGGAAGAUGUCAGCUCAACAAGGUCAUCAGUGAGCUGAAUGGAAGACAUUGAGAAUGUCAUCGCCUACGGUGUUGGCAAGCACCAGUGUGCCCGCAGGUGGGGCUGUGGCUGUUUCUACUGCCCGGGUCUCUGCAGCGCCUCCCACUGCCCCGCCCCUACUCCAUGAGCCCCACCCCCAACCACAGCAGCAGAGGGGGUGAGAAGGGGAUAACGCUUGGGAUUUGGUUUGCUUGACUAAAUUCCUAUAGAGCGUUUUGUUGUUGUUGUUUUUGGGCACAGAGUUUCUCUGUAUAGCCCUAUCCUGGAACUCAUUCUGUAGACCAGGCUGGCCUUGAACUCAGAGAUCUGUCCGUCUCUGCCUCCAGAGUUCUGGGAUUAAAGGUGUAAGCCGCCUCCCAACCCCAGCUAAAUAAAGUCUUUUUAUGCUUUAAAAAAAAAUCCAUCUUUUAAGGGUUUUGUCAUGUGUGGCUGUGGAUGGAACCUGGGGUCUUGUGCUUGCUGGGCAAUAAGUGCUCUACCUCUGUACUCCAAGCCAGCCCCAGCUAUUCUGGGAAAAAAAGAAAAAAAAAAGUAACACACAACCUGUAAUGAGAAGCUCUUGGUUCAGCUUCUUGCAGACAGGUCUCAACUGCCCAGGCCAGAGAGACAAGAACCCAGGAAUCAAGAGAGUAGUCCGUGGUUCAGUUACUUCUCUGUGAUAAAAAAGACCCUGGGAAAAAAAAUUACUUAAAGGAGAAUUAUUUUCUCUCACAGAUCCAGAAGGGGAAAGACAUCGCUGCAGUCAGGGAAGGCAGGGUGACUGGAGCAAGAGGCUACACGGUCACAUUGUAGCUACUCAGAAAGUAGAGAUGGAAGUCUGCACCAGCUGCCUUUCUCCAUUUUAUGCAGUACAACACCACAGUCAGGGACUAUGUACCACCAAGGCUGGGCACAGCUUCCUACCUCACUUAAAGCCAUCCAGAUAAUCUCUCACAAGCAUGCCCAGAAAGCUCCGUGUACUGUCAGGUCGACAACACCACACACCACAGAAACUCUGCUGGGAGCAGGUGCAUCUGCCAGGUAGAUUCCACCCAGAAAAGGAAGUAAUAUCAAUCAUCGUAGCUUCAAUCUACUUUCUUGAAACAGGGUCUGCUGUAUAGCCUUGGAUAGCCUGGAGGUGACUAUGUAGACCGGCCUGGUCUUGAACUCGUAGAGUCUCCUGUUUCUAGCUCUACUGGGAUCAAAGAUGAACGCCACCACACCAGGCCCUAUCUACUUUUCUUUUCUGAACUUUUUCUUUGGCUUUUUCAAGACAGGGUUUCUCUGUGUAUCUCUGGCCAUCCUGGAACUCACUCUGUAGACCAGGCUGGUCUUGAACUCAGACAUCUGCCUGCCUCUGCCUUCCAAGUGCUGGGAUUAAAGGUGUGUGCUACCAUUCCAGGCAUACUUUUUUUUCCUAAGACAGGGUCUAGCCUAACCUUGAACACACGUGCGCGCGCGCGCGCGCGCGCACACACACCCACACACACACACACACACACACACACACACACAGAUGCUGAAGAUAGUAAUAACAUGAUAUUGGUGCUUUGGGGGAAGGAGCAGUUUUCAGGUGUGGUUGACUUGUCUGAGGUUUUCCUGUUGUGGUAAUUGACUGGGAGCUGGGCUUUUCCUCCCAGGGUAGACUUUCCACCUUGUUCCACUUCCCUUGAGCACCUUCAUCUACUCUGUGCACUGAGCUUUUCUGUAUUCAGUCAGCCAGAGCACCUCUUCCCAGAGGUCUAAGAGAUGGGCUGUCACUCUGGGAGAGGCUGAUGUGACAUUCAUGCUUACUCCAGCCACCUUCCCCAGCUGCGUGGAGAGGAACUGCACUCUGGGGCAGAGAAGAUAGAAAUCACAGGAAGCCCUGGUCCCCUGUGCUGCCACCACGUGUCCACCUUUGGAAGCUCCAACUGCCUUCACUAACGCCAAAUACCAUUGAUGGGUAAUUUAUUUAUUUAUUUUUAUAUUUAUUACAUGUAAGUACACUGCAGCUGUCUUCAGACACACCAGAAGAGGGCAUCAGAUCUCAUUAUAGAUGGUUGUGAGCCACCAUGUGGUUGCUGGGAUUUGAACUCAGGACCCUUAGAACGGUCAGUGCUCUUAACCACUGAACUAUCUCUCCAGCCCUGAUGGGUAAUUUAUAAAGAAUAGUUUGUUUCCUUGUCGUAGGAGCUGGGAUAGGGAGCUGGAGGGCUGCCCCUGGGAAGGACCUUUUUGCUGAGUUACAGAGUAGGCCAGAGCAGAAGUUACCCAGAAUCCUUGGAUUAUAACCAUUUUCUCCAUAACUAGUCCAAACCACACCCACAACACCAAUCAAGUUGGGCGUGGUGGGGCACACACCUUCAAUCAUAGUGUUGGGAAAGGAGAGAAGUAGGUGGAUCUCUUGACUUUAGGGUCAGCCUAGUCUACGAAGAGGGUUCCUUCCAGAGUACAUGGUGAGACUCAAGAAAGAAAGGAAGGGGGGCUGGAGAGAUGGUUCAGUGGUUAAGAAUAUUGGUUGUUCUUCCAGAGGUCCUGAGUUCAAUUCCCAGCAACCACAUGGUGGUUCAUAACCAUCUCCAACAGGAUCUGAUGCCUCUUCUGGUGUGUCUGAGGACAGCUACAACAUACUAACAUACAUAAAAUGAAUAAAUAUAAAAAAAAGAAAGGAAGGAAAGAAGAAAGAAAGGAAGGAAGAAAGAACAGACAGACAGACAGACAGACUGGCGAGAUGGCUCUGUGAUUAAAAACAAGUGCUGCUUUUCCAGGGAACCCAAAUCAGUCCCUGGCACCCACUUGAUUCAGUUCCUGGCACUCAUGGCUGCUUAGAAACCAAUACCACAGGAUCCAAAGCUUCUGGCCGCCACAGACACUGGCCCUCACCUGCACAUCUUCCCCAGGAUGUAUAAUUUAAAACAUUGUUUUUUAAAAAACACUGAUCAGUUCUUAAAGACCCCGCCUUAACCACCUGUCUGGCUUCAACAGUUUGGUUCUGCAGCCCACAGGUCCACACCAGAUGCCAGAGCUAGGGCUUCAAAACAAAACCUGUUCCUUAGAUUCUCUGACCCCAAGGGGUCCAUAAACCGUGCACAUCUGGAAAACCUCACCUACACACUUUCCCGGUGUUAUUUACUCAAGUAGAGAAAGCAAAGCCCCUCAUGGCCUUUCUCUCCAAAUGAAGGCAAAACCAUUAGGCUGGAAGACACUGGGUAAGCAAAUAAAUAAAAGCGACAAGCCCUCUUGGGGGACAGGCCCUGAGGUCUCUCCUGCAGCCGACUCGAACUGAUAAACUUGAGGUUACUACACGGUGACCUGCAGACGCCCCAGUCUCUCACCACUUGUCAUGGCCAGCAGGGGACCACACUCACUAGGGAGAGACGGACCCACCUUUGCUUCCUAAAUGACAGCCCUGAGCCAGAGAUGCGAUAUGUUUCUGGGGCGCAUCUGAGGACCUCCGAGCAUCUGUGCCGUCUUUAGCCCGAGGCUUUCUCAGGCUCUACGGGAGAACUGGCUGUGCGCUCGUUCGGAAGCACCAAGCCAGGUGACAGGUGGAAACACUUGAGCAGCUGCUGUGUUAAUGCCGCGCAGGGAUCGGGAUCGCUAACUGCAGGUCUGAGCAGCAGUCCCUUCCGGAGGGCUCCACAGAUAGUCAGGGGCCCUGCAUCUCAGCCCCAGUACAGUGGAGCACCACGGAGCUGGGGGCAGCCGAGGGAGCUUCACCAGCUCCGGUGCAUCUAAGGUGAAGAUCCUCCCAAGCUGCUUUUCUUUAGUAAAGGUUCAUAUAUCCAGGACCAACAAGGGCACCGUUCCUGGUGAGAUUAGACCUCCGGUUUUUAUAUCUUCAGCCCCCUGGAGCAAGUCUCUGCUUCAGGUCUGAGGUAGGUUCAGCUCUCAGAGAAUCUGUGUCUAUGAGAUGGGCAUGCAGAAGCCUUUUGGGCUUCUUUGAGGCAGAGGAGGAUGCAAAUAUGGGUGCACACAGCCAGGGUUCUCCACCUUCACAGACUGCUGGGAAUUUUGAAGCUAGGGUCAUCCUUCUGUGUUGUCCUGAGCCAAGGAUAAGGUUUGUACCACUGUACCUGCUGGUCAUUGCUGCCUUGGAGCACGGCAGAUCCCCCACGGAGAUGGACAAUCCCUGCGGAGGCUCCCUAAGGGAAGGAGCCUUUCUGCAGCUGAAGGAAGGGGCCACGGACUGUUUCCCUGUGGCCCUGAGCCCAGCUUUUCCACGCCCUGUCCUCUGAACACCCGAUUUACUUUGAUUUGCCGUGUAGCCUAUGAAAGUAGAUGACGGCCUUACCAAUACCACAGCUUCUUAAAAGACGGGAGUGGGUGACUUUUUUUUUUUUUCUU